AACGAACGCUGGCGGCGCGCUUAACACAUGCAAGUCGAACGAGAAGGCGUAGCAAUACGCUUGUACAGUGGCGAACGGGUGAGUAAUACGUGGGCGACCUACCCUCGAGCGGGGAAUAACCCGCCGAAAGGCGGGCUAGUGCCGCGUACGCUUCCAUCUUUAUGGAGGUGGAAGGAAAGCCGUGCCGUGGGCACUGCGCUCAAGGAUGGGCUCACGUCCUAUCAGCUUGUUGGAGGGUAACGGCCUACCAAGGCUCCGACGGGUAGCUGGUCUGAGAGGACGAUCAGCCACACUGGCACUGCGACACGGGCCAGACUCCUACGGGAGGCAGCAGUGAGGAAUAUUGCGCAAUGGGCGAAAGCCUGACGCAGCGACGCCGCGUGGGGGAGUGAA
rnacentral:rRNA from 1 species